UGUCACUUCCAGGCAGGGCCUCGAGGAAGUAGGUGAGCUUCUCCAUCCCUGUCUGUCUAGAUGCAGAGAACCCAAAGCCCUGCAGGAUGGCAAAGCUGCAACAUGGAAGUCACCCGGAUCACCACGUAAAGGAAAUCUCUCCAACCAGGAACAAACACCUGCCUUGCAAUAUUAGGUGUCUGCCUCCUGCCCCGGUCCACAGCCAGGAGCCCCGGAGCCAACGGCCAGCCUGGAAGACUUACAGUUCUCCCUCUGAGGGUUGCUGUGGCUUUCCAUGUUGUGGUGACUAAGUCCCUGUGUUUCUGUGCAGUCCCUGCUUCCUGGGACCAGGGAAGAAUGGUCCCGUGGCCACCAGACUUUCUCUGCUUGUAUCCUCCCAGGACCACAGAACUCAUCGCAUCCCAAGGCAGCCUAUUCCAUCAUGGAUGAGCUCAAAGUGUUUGAAAGUUCUGCUUUAUCAAAACUCUUGAUGGCCUGCUUCCCAUCCUCCAUCCUGGAAGACUGAUCUGAAACCCCAGGAGGAGGUCCUCUGAGCCCUGAGGCAGAGAUCUCUCACCUGGAAGAUGGGUCUAAUGACUGCGCCCCACACACACCAGAGAGGACUGCAGAUAGUGCGGGAUGAGAGGAAGAUCUCUGGCCCUGGAGACAGCAUCAUCAAGCGGUAGCUUCAUCUUUGGGAGCUGGGGCCUCUGCAGGAGCUUUACCCUCCUCUCUCCAUGCUGAGCCUGUCUCAACCCCCUAACCUGCACCCCAGUCUUUUGGGGUCACCUCAAGGCUUUGGCUGAUGCUUCUUUGCUGACGUCAACCAAGAAAACGUAUGAGGAAGAAAAUAGCAGAUGAGAAGAAUCAACCAAAUUCCGGAAGCUGGAAGGCAGAUGGAAGAAGGCCCUUGAAUGAUGCCAGCACCUUGAUAUUGGACUUUCCAGCCUCCAGAACCAUGAGCCAAUACAUUUCUGUUCCAUAAAAAUUACCCAGUUCCAGGUAUUCUGCUAUAGCAGCACAAAAUGGACUAAAACAAUGUUGGCACAAGACUCAGUGCUGGGCCUGGCAUGCAACAGGUCCUUGGAGUGGCGUGCUGUGUGGAUAAUGAAUAUUGGGGAAGGCAUCUCUCUCCAGCCCCUCUCAAGCUUUCUGUAGUCACUGGUCCACUCUGUAUUGCUAUGAAGAAGCUCAAGACCAGCCUGUAUCACUCGGGGUCCUGGCAGGAACCAGGUGCCACACUCAAACUGAGUAAUUGAAGAGGGUUUAAUAUGGGAGUUAUUUACAUAGGUGUGGGCUGGUGUAGCUGCCCAUAUGCCCUCAAAAUCACCUCUACAUGGCAAUAGCUACUUACUGCUAACAGAGUCUCUCUCUCAUUGCUGCAAAUAUUUUCUAGCCAUGCAAGAAACUCAGCCGGUCAUGUUGAACAAACUAAGAGUGCCAGGAAGUUAAUGUCCUGGAAGCAUUGCCAGAGGGGAGGGGGCAGUUAGAUUCCCCAGCUUCCUCGCUCCUCUGCUGGGUUAAGCCUGCAACAUAUUCAUCAUCUCCCAGAGUGCUGCCCAGGGAUAGAGCUCCAGGUGCUCAGUGUGGUGACCUGCUCAUGUCAGCUUCUUCCCCUUUCCUGUCUUGUUUCGCACCCACAUCCUUCCCAUGUUUCCUCUUCCCAAAUAAACUACUUGCAUUGAAAUCUUUGUCUCAGGCUCUGCUUCUGGGGAAACCUGAAC
rnacentral:lncRNA from 10 species